UACAGAGGUGGCAAGCGUUGUUCGGAAUUACUGGGCGUAAAGGGCGCGUAGGCGGUUCGAUAAGUCCCGUGUGAAAUCCCUCGGCUCAACUGAGGAACUGCACGGGAAACUGACGGGCUUGAGUUCGGGAGAGGGAAGCGGAAUUCCGGGUGUAGCGGUGAAAUGCGUAGAUAUCAGGAGGAACACCGGUGGCGAAGGCGGUUCUCUGGGCAUUACCUGACGCUGAGGAGCGAAAGUGUGGGGAGCGAACAGG
rnacentral:rRNA from 1 species